rnacentral:rRNA from 1 species
GAUGAACGCUGGCGGCGUGCCUAAUACAUGCCAGUCGAGCGAACGGACGAGAAGCUUGCUUUUCUGAUGUUAGCGGCGGACGGGUGAGUAACACGUGGAUAACCUACCUAUAAGACUGGGAUAACUUCGGGAAACCGGAGCUAAUACCGGAUAAUAUUUUGAACCGCAUGGUUCAAAAGUGAAAGACGGUCUUGCUGUCACUUAUAGAUGGAUCCGCGCUGCAUUAGCUAGUUGGUAAGGUAACGGCUUACCAAGGCAACGAUGCAUAGCCGACCUGAGAGGGUGAUCGGCCACACUGGAACUGAGACACGGUCCAGACUCCGACGGGAGGCAGCAGUAGGGAAUCUUCCGCAAUGGGCGAAAGCCUGACGGAGCAACGCCGCGUGAGUGAUGAAGGUCUUCGGAUCGUAAAACUCUGUUAUUAGGGAAGAACAUAUGUGUAAGUAACUGUGCACAUCUUGACGGUACCUAAUCAGAAAGCCACGGCUAACUACGUG